GUGGAUGCCUUGGCGAUUACAGGCGAUGAANGACGUUGUAGCCUGCGAAAGCUGCGGGGAGCUGGCAAACAACUUGAUCC
rnacentral:rRNA from 1 species